GACGAACGCUGGCGGCGUGCUUAACACAUGCAGGUCGAACGGAAAGGCCCUGCUUUUGUGGGGUGCUCGAGUGGCGAACGGGUGAGUAACACGUGAGUAACCUGCCCUUGACUUUGGGAUAACUUCAGGAAACUGGGGCUAAUACCGGAUAGGAGCUCCUGCUGCAUGGUGGGGGUUGGAAAGUUUCGGCGGUUGGGGAUGGACUCGCGGCUUAUCAGCUUGUUGGUGGGGUAGUGGCUUACCAAGGCUUUGACGGGUAGCCGGCCUGAGAGGGUGACCGGCCACAUUGGGACUGAGAUACGGCCCAGACUCCUACGGGAGGCGGCAGUGGGGAAUAUUGCACAAUGGGCGGAAGCCUGAUGCAGCAACGCCGCGUGCGGGAUGACGGCCUUCGGGUUGUAAACCGCUUUCGCCUGUGACGAAGCGUGAGUGACGGUAAUGGGUAAAGAAGCACCGGCUAACUACGUG
rnacentral:rRNA from 1 species